GCCGGGCCCGAGGGCGGCCCGGGCGCUGGAGCUGCCAGCAAACUUUCCCGUCUGAAUUCCAGAUCGAGAGCCUGGGAACCACACUCUGCCCAGACUGGAAAACUACAAUAAAAAAAACAUAGCCAUGAAAAUAAGUGAGAUUAAAACCUGCCGGCUUCACUUCCUGGAGGCUUUUUGUUGGGUCUUGAAACUAGGAGUCUUUGCGGGUCAUCCUCAAAUUCAUCUUGACAGAUUCAACCAAUCAGAAACUGAGUCUGCGUACAUUCCCUAAAGACAGGCGCUACGGAAUGUCCGAAUUCCCUCCAGAAUGUCCGGAUUCCCUCCAUUCUGCAUUCGCCCAAGAUGCAGCAAGACAUAGGGGUGCGUGUGGUCUCAGGAAUUAAACAGACCUGGUUUGGAUUCCCACUAGGUACUUGCUGUGCAGUGUUAGGCAAGUUAUAUACUAUCCUUGAGCUUGUUUCCUUAAAAAUAGAUAUAAUAAAACUACCCCUUUGAAUUAUUGAAUAUUAAGUAGUUAUAUGUGAAAGCAUCUUAAACAGUCCCUGCUCCAUAGG